rnacentral:rRNA from 1 species
CCUACGGGAAGCAGCAGUGAGGAAUAUUGGUCAAUGGACGAGAGUCUGAACCAGCCAAGUAGCGUGAAGGAUGACUGCCCUAUGGGUUGUAAACUUCUUUUAUAUGGGAAUAAAAUGUUCCACGUGUGGGCUUUUGUAUGUACCAUAUGAAUAAGGAUCGGCUAACUCCGUGCCAGCAGCCGCGGUAAUACGGAGGAUCCGAGCGUUAUCCGGAUUUAUUGGGUUUAAAGGGAGCGUAGGUGGAUUGUUAAGUCAGUUGUGAAAGUUUGCGGCUCAACCGUAAAAUUGCAGUUGAAACUGGCAGUCUUGAGUACAGUAGAGGUGGGCGGAAUUCGUGGUGUAGCGGUGAAAUGCUUAGAUAUCACGAAGAACUCCGAUUGCGAAGGCAGCUCACUGGACUGCAACUGACAUUGAGGCUCGAAAGUGUGGGUAUCAAACAGGAUUAGAUACCCGUGUAGUC